AAAUACAGCUUCUGCCUGCAACAGAGAAACAGCCAGAACAGUGUUAGACUGCUUUCAAAACCCUGUUACCCUUAACUUACUGUCCAAAACCUGGAGAAGAGGUAUGUGGACUUACUUCAUCCACCUUUAUUCAUGCUGUUGUAAUGUGUAUGGAUUCAACACACUGCAUCAAUUUUGACAGUUUAUGUUUCAAAAAUAUUCUCUAUCAGGGAGAAAAAAAUAUUUGAAGCAUUUAGUUGCAAUUAUGUCUAUAGAAACAAAUGGUCAAAAGCCUUCUCCGAGACAGCAUUUAUCUGAGCAGGUAUAUUUAAGGGAAAGUGGUUCUGAGUGGCAAGGGCAGAAACCCUUAUUCCAGCAGGUAUGAAUAAUGCAUUAUGCUGAGUAAUAGGCAUGCAACAAAAAAAGCAGGAUUUUUGUGUCUGUAAAUUUAUAAGAAGAUUAAAAAAGGAAGGAGAUAAGGAUAGGAAAGCAAAACCAAACUGAAUUCUGCUUAGUGCUGCAGACAGCAAUCCCAGUGCAACUGCCUUACUACGCUAUCCACUGCACCAGUAAUGAAAUUAAAGGAUGCUGGGACAUUACAGCCUAGUGCCUGCUUCUGGUGUUAGUCAUUAAGUCUUGCAUGAUAGCUGUUGGUUAAUCCAAAUUCUGGCUGGAGUGUAGCUAGAUUGUCCUCUGACAUGCAUGCUUAUCAUUCAACCAAAACAAAAUCCUAACCAACUGCUGCAUCCUUGUCUAUCUAAUGGUAAAUACUGUGAAGAUUCCUUCCCUGGAGACAUUGAGAACCCACCUGGAUGCCAUCCUGUGCAGCCUGCUCUAGUCCUGCAAUUCGAACUUAGGAGAUGAGUGGUGGUGUUUGAUUCACAGAGGCUUUAAGACAGUAUCUUGCUUAGAAAGACCAGUUCCUGACUAACUCUCCAUUCCUAUCACAAAUAUCCUAGUAGAACAAAGACUGAUCUGUCUUUGCAUUGUAGUUCAUGCUGAAAGUUAGUUGAAUAAGUUACUUACUCCGUUCUGCUUUGUCUUUUUUGAACUGAUAAUAAAUAUCUGUGAUGAAUCUUAGCAGCGCUUGCAGCCUUUCUGGACUGGAGUGACAAAAGGAAGAAAAUUAGAUAUUUUAUAUAGAAAUUUAAGUCCUGUUAAUGAAUUUUAUCACUUAUGACUCGAUAUAGAAUUAAAUACUUAUUAAAAUAACUAACACAGUUACUCACUUUCUGUCCUUUGGAUGCAUGCCUUCCUGAUUUGCCCAGGUGUCAGCCAGUAAGCCACCAGGAGACAGUUUGGAUUUGAUAUCUUGAAGACUAGUUUCUAUCGUGCCCUGAGAGCUGGAGAGCUAUUUAAGAGCAAGAAAGUUCCAUUUUACCACUGCAUAAAGUGAAAAAUCACUUGAGGCUGAAAACAGACUGAACACACUGAUACUAUAGACCCAUUUGUUUUGCUGACCCUUCCUUAAAGAAUAUGCCAAAGAACUAUCUGCCUAAGCUUUACUAAACACAGGGUAAGGCAUGAUAUUGUUAAAGAAUGAAUCACCUUUGAUGAUAUUUCUGUUAAUUAAUGUUUUUAUUUCAACAAUAAGUUUCUAUCUUUAUAAUAUAGUCACUAUUUUCUCCUACACUUUAUAAUAUAGUCACUAUUUUCUCCUACACUUGCUCAUUUGGUUUGUUAAGAAUUUGUAUGACUAUUGACAUAAUAGACACUUUUCUUACCCUGCCUUUCAAAAUAAAACCACACUAAUCCCCUUUUGCUUUUUGUACACUGAUCCAGGAUAUUCAGUGUGUGAAGUUAUUUUCAAUUCUUCCUUACUUUGUCAUAAUGCACAUUUCAAAGCAGGUCAUUCUGAAAAGUGCUUGUGUAUAUAACAUUUUAGAAAGCCAAUGAAGCAGCUAAGAAUACUUCAAGGAAAUGGAAAGAAAGACUAGGAAACAAAAUACAUUUAAUGGUGGCAAUUUUUUACUUAAGCAUUUUAGAAAACAAGAAUGUAUUUUCAGGAACUUACAUUUUCCCUACACCAUGCUAAUAAAAAGGAUUUACCCUGUUUUCAGAAAGAUA